rnacentral:lncRNA from 1 species
AAUGUUGGGAGUUCUUCUUGUUCAGUAAUCACAUGGCCAGCAAGUUGACUUGGGGAUAUUAGAUCAUUGAGCUCACCCUGUGGUCCCUUGUUAUGCUGGAAGAACACUGAGUACCCAGAUGUAUUUAAGAACACAGCCCUCUCCAGAGAAUAUUCCAGCUGAGCUUUUGGUAUUUUUAACAAUUUUGAACCCUGUAAUUUAGAGCCAGCCCUUGGCUGACGCAGAAGAGUUUGCUCAUUGUCAUAAAGCAUCCUGUUAAAUUGCCUAUGUUGUUUGUUUUCCUAAUAAUUAAAAAAAUAAUAAUUUGGUACAGUAUCAAAAUGUGAAAGUGCUUUUGAAAGCUAUUUAACAAAAAAACACCUAAUACUAUUCUCUUGUUGUGGUACUGGAGAUUGAGCCCAAGGGUGCUUUACCACUCAGCUAUGUCCCCAUCCCUUUUUGAGAUAGGGCCUCACUAAGUUGCUAAGGGUCUCACUAAAUUGCCCAGGUGGGCCUUUAACUUGUGAUCCUCCUGAGUCGUUGGGAUUACAGGUGUGCACCACUGUGCUUGGUUAAUACCUAAUACAAUCAAUAAGAUCUUUGAAAAGGAAAUUAGAAAUAGUGUCUAACAAAAUUCAGCGCCCCCCCCCCUUUUUCCAGUGUCUAUUACUGUCCUUAUGCUUUGCUUCUGAUUAGACCAUAAAUCUUAGCCUAAUUCAGAUUCUCCAGAGAAUUACAGAAGCUAGAUCAGGUUUAGACUCCUUUACAGAUUCAUGUUUGGGGUUGUUUUGUUUGUUUGUUUGUUUGUUUUUUUGCCUUCUUCAAAACAGCUCCAUCUUAUGAGCCUGAGCAGGUCUCCAUGCCAGUUUAGAGUGGGGUGGUGAUGAGUUUAUAAGGUACAGUGGACUUCCUAUGAGUGCCAUGCAUGGGUUUGGAAGUCCUGUAAAUGAACAUGGUGAACCUUAGAGUGAGGUUCAAGGGAAAAGGAGGGUGUAAGUGUCAGCUAAACAUCGAUGUGGCCGACCCAGAAUAAUAGGGUGUCAUGGCAAUCCUAAC